rnacentral:rRNA from 1 species
CACGUAGUUAGCCGGGGCUUUCUUCUCAGGUACCGUCACUCCGGUAGCAGUUACUCUACCGGACGUUCUUCCCUGGCAACAGAGCUUUACGAUCCGAAAACCUUCAUCACUCACGCGGCGUUGCUCCGUCAGGCUUUCGCCCAUUGCGGAAGAUUCCCUACUGCUGCCUCCCGUAGGAGUCUGGGCCGUGUCUCAGUCCCAGUGUGGCCGUUCACCCUCUCAGGUCGGCUACGCAUCGUCGCCUUGGUGAGCCGUUACCCCACCAACUAGCUAAUGCGCCGCAGGCCCAUCCCUUAAUGACAGAUUGCUCCGCCUUUCAUUCUCCCUUCAUGAGAAAAAAGAAUUAUCCGGUAUUAGCUACCGUUUCCGGUAGUUAUCCCAGGCUAAGGGGCAGGUUGCCUACGUGUUACUCACCCGUCCGCCGCUAAGCUUACCCCGAAGGAUAAGCUCCGCUCGACUUGCAUGUAUUAGGCACGCCGCCAGCGUUCGUCCUGAGCCAGGAUCAAACUCU